GUAUGGGACUGAGCAUGCGCAGAUUUUGUUUUCGGCAACGGGAAAUGAGAUCCGAAGCUGACUGCUAACGAUCUAUGGGACAGCGAGACACAGGUGAUGUGCAUGCUGUACCCUUUGAGGUCACUGUCCCAUACUUACAGGCGGACUGUGGUGGGAUAAACACCUAGGUCUAGAGUUACUGUUUCAAAAGGAACACACAUUUAUAAAGUGGACAGAUCAUGCUACAGUACUACCCGAAACCAGAGCAGACACAUCUACACGGGGAAUGAUGACCAGCCUCCUGUUUUCCACACUGAUACAGAACUACCUGAUGCCCAUCAGCUACCUGCCAGACUAAACCUCUGAGUAUUACCUGCUUCAGACUACCCAUCUCCAGGUCCUCCUAUCUACUGCAACACUCAUCUUGUAUCUCAUGUUGAGACUCUCAUGGAAUUGAUCACUUGACUAGAGUCCUCCCC
ensembl:lncRNA